ensembl:lncRNA
UCUGCCCGAUCAGGCAGCGCUCUCAAUAGGAUGAGGGCUGGUGGCAUCUGAAGACCUGGGCCGGACCCUGCUGUGACAAAGAAGGGCCGAUGAACAUCAGUCCACCUCCCCAUCAUGACGAAUCACAGAAUUGCAGGAGUUGGAAGGGACCUCAAGAGAUCAUUGAGCCCAACCCCCUGCUAAAGCAGCUUCCCUACAGUAGGUCGCACAGAUUUUUUGGAUCCUUCCUGCGAAUGACAAGCUGCAGUGAUUUCCUACAAAUGCACUGCUCCAGAGCUGCUCUUCAGGAGUCGUCUGGGGAAGAGCAGCCGCAGAAAUGUGAAAGGCAAACAAAUCUCAGCCGGGGCAGAUCAGAGGGGCCGCUGUUGUCCUGCCGGGCUGAUUUAUACGGCCUUAUCUUUUAUCUGCUCCGCUCCCCCCCCCAAGCACACCAGCAGUGCUCCCACGGUGCUUCUCACUGGGAAACCCGUGAGUUCACUUUCUGCACUUGUUCAUUUUAGGCUCUCAAGUUGUCUUCUCAUUUUAAUGUAAUAUUCCUCUUUUGGCAUACAGCGAAUAUGCCAGGCUAAAGCACUCACUUGAACAUGUUCCCAACACCAUGUAAAUAAAUCCCUGGCUCUGGGAAAAGAAAAUCUCCACUACUUUGCCCAGAAGCACUCUGAAAUGCCAUAUGCACAGAGCCUCCCACUUAACAAGCAGCGAGGAAGCACUUUGGCUCCCACUGCUUUUUCAACUCUUAUCAACCCUUUCAUAGCCACGAAGCUGUGAGCAGGAUGGCAACCCUGAGAGCAGUCCUUCCAAAAACACUGCAUCUGUAGCCCCCAGGACCAGGAAAGAUGUCUGUCCACAUGUGGAACUGAGGCUAUGGGGGUUCUGUGAAUGAACCCAACCUCUGGCAUGGUUCUGAGGAAAACUGCCCAGUUUGGGUGGACAUGUCUCAUGCUGAUCAAAGAGCAGAGUCCUUUGCAUGUAUUGCAGUGCUCAUUUGUCCCUGCUGUCAAAAAAGAAAACUUGGGAGUAAAUGUAUUUAAUC